GAGCGGAAUGAAGAGAGCUUGCUCUUUGAUUCAGCGGCGGACGGGUGAGUAAUGCCUAGGAUCUGCCUGAUAGUGGGGGACAACGUUUCGAAAGGAACGCUAAUACCGCAUACGUCCUACGGGAGAAAGUGGGGGAUCUUCGGACCUCACGCUAUCAGAUGAGCCUAGGUGGGAGGGGGCUAGUUGGUGGGGUAAAGGCCUACCAAGGCGACGAUCCGUAACUGGUCUGAGAGGAUGAUCAGCCACACUGGGACUGAGACACGGCCCAGACUCCUACGGGAGGCAGCAGUGGGGAAUUUUCCGCAAUGGCGAAAGCCUGACGGAGCAAGACCGGCGGGGGGGGAAGAAGGUCUGUGGAUUGUAAACCUCUUU
rnacentral:rRNA from 1 species